rnacentral:tRNA from 1 species
GCCCCUAUAGCUCAACUGGCAGAGCAACUGACUUUUAAUCAGUGGGUUGCAGGUUCGAAUCCAGUUAGGGGCAC